rnacentral:SRP_RNA from 1 species
AGCCGGGUCCCGCGCAACGGGCGGCUGUGAACUCCGUCAGGCCCGGAAGGGAGCAGCGGUAGCGGCUUUCCCCGUGUGCCGCGGGGGUGCCUGGCUGUC